rnacentral:rRNA from 1 species
UACGUAGGUGGCGAGCGUUGUCCGGAUUUACUGGGCGUAAAGGGCGCGUAGGCGGUCAGCACAAGUCAGUUGUGAAAUCUCCGGGCUUAACUCGGAAAGGUCAACUGAUACUGUGCGACUAGAGUGCAGAAGGGGCAACUGGAAUUCUUGGUGUAGCGGUGAAAUGCGUAGAUAUCAAGAGGAACACCUGCGGCGAAGGCGGGUUGCUGGGCUGACACUGACGCUGAAGCGCGAAAGCCAGGGGAGCGAACGGG